ACUGCUCUAUAGCGGUCCUGUAGUCGGAUGGCGGUACUGCACCCUGACACACACUUGACGCAGUUCACACACUCUGCCUACUGCACAUGCGCAAUCUCAUAAAUGAAUCCAACUUUAAUCAACUUAAUUAAGAUCUAUCAUCAAAUUAUUCGAAUUUUUGGUCAGAGGCCGGGGUGGAGUGCAUGAGCCGCGGUCAGACAGUCACCAAUCACCGGGCGGCUAAAUGGAUCGACGGAGGAUAAAACCAUUAAAAGAUGCGGAGAAACACAUCACCAGCUCCACUGACAAGACCCAUUCACUGGAAACCGAAUAUAUAGAAGGUUACUAAGUUUUGCAGCAUUGAUGCCGAUCAUGAGGACGAUCUGCACCCUAACUGCACUGUCAAUAAGAUCGUUGUUCAGAGAAAACCUCAUUUGUGCCUUUUUGCAAUCAGGGAUAUUUUCUUUGGAGAGGAAAUAACGUUUGACUAUGGCGCAUGUGAUUGGCCUUGGAGAAAGCUUUCAUUGAAGGAUGCCCAUAUGACUGCAGAAGAAAACUGCUCCGACAACUCUCUGAUGAGCUUUCAUUGAAGUAUGAUCAUAUGACGAGAAGAAGAGAACUGCUCUGCUCCAGUAGGAGACCCACAACCCUCUGAUGAGCUUAUAUUGAAGGAUGACCAUAUGACAGAGGAAGAGAAC